UACGUAGGGUGCGAGCGUUGUCCGGAAUUAUUGGGCGUAAAGGGCGCGUAGGCGGUCAGCACAAGUCAGUUGUGAAAUCUCCGGGCUUAACUCGGAAAGGUCAACUGAUACUGUGCGACUAGAGUGCAGAAGGGGCAACUGGAAUUCUCGGUGUAGCGGUGAAAUGCGUAGAUAUCGAGAGGAACACCUGCGGCGAAGGCGGGUUGCUGGGCUGACACUGACGCUGAUGCGCGAAAGCCAGGGGAGCGAACGGG
rnacentral:rRNA from 1 species